AUUUAUGUAGUUUAAAUAAAACAUUACACUUUCACUGUAAAAAUAAUAAUAAUAAUAUUCUUAAAUA
rnacentral:tRNA from 1 species